UAUGCAAUGAGUUUAAGCUCAAAACAUCCUGCAAAUAUACAUACACAAAAUGAAAGAAAGAAAGAAAGAAAUAAAAAAGAAAAAAGAAAAAUGGAAAAAUAGGUCACAUUUUUGUAUGUUUCUUGUUUUUCCAUUUUUUUUUUUUUUUUUUUUUUUUCCUUUUUCUUUCUCCUAAUUUGUGUAAUUUUUAUAAAAACAGGAAGGAAGGUCUGAGAUGCUGCAUUUAAAGAAUAGAAAAAAAAAGUCAAUGAAUUUUAAUUUUUUUUUUUUUUUUUUUUAUUAUUCUUAUGAAUUAAAAAGGAAGAAAAAAAAAUUAAAAUUCAUUGUUACUUUUUAUUUCACAUAUAUAUAUAUAUAUAUAUAUAUAUAUAUAUAUAUAUAUUCUUUAAUAAAAUUUUUGAGAGAAAAAGUAUUGAACAAAUAUUAAUUAGUUACCAGAAAUAUCAAUCAUAUAUUUAAAAUUUCGUAAGAAAUUUUGUGUAUGGUUUUGAAAAAGCUAAUAAGCAAGUAUACAUUGGUGAGUUCGAUUUUUGAGGUUUUUCUUUAUUCCUACAUCUCAUAUAUCAAUAUUUUUUUUAUAAUAUAUAUUAUACGAGGUGACAAUAAGAAAAAUAACUUAAUUCAGACUACUCCUAAAUUCAUUGCUACAA
rnacentral:RNase_P_RNA from 1 species